AAAAACAAAAAGCUAAGAAUUUACAAAAAGGUUAAUGCAAAUGGCUUACAAAAGUGUAGCAAUGGUGGUGGUGACUUUGAUCUCUGCCACGCUGAUGACAGCCUCUGCAGGAGGAGGAGCAGGUGCAGGUGCAGGAGCAGGAGAAGGAGGUGGCCAAAAGGCUAGAUUUGUAACAUGUAUCCGUGACUGUAUGCCUCUAUGCAUGCAAAUAAAAGACGUAACAAAAGCAGCCUGUGACAAAGCUUGUGAGCUGGGAUGCAAGCAGUUGCAAGAAUGCUGCUUUCUUUAAACACUGGUAAAUUUCUGAAACACCCGAGAAAAGAAAACUAAACUAAGUGGCGGAAAUUGUCCUGAAAACUGAAAUGGAUGGUUUCUUCUCUUUCUCAGAUGCCUGGCAUCCUAUAUCUAUCUCCUCAUACUGUGAGUGCAUAAUGCAAUACACUAAAAUUGGAGAACAUUUUUCCUCCCCGCUUUAACUCAAGGUGUAUCAUUAUCAUCUU